UUCAUCCCGAUCAAUUUUAUUAGUGAUUUAUUUCUAUUAUGUGGGAAGUGAUUGACAAAUUUUUGGUAUGUUCUUCUGCCAAAGUUGAUUCUAUACUAUCAAUGCUAUAAGGUUUGGUGGUUGUUCAAGAGUUCAUAGAUCUGGCUGUAGACCUGAUGCACCGACGCUCCUUUUUAUUAGGGCUUGGAACCAGCAGCAUAAAAACAAAGGCCUGGCUAAAUUUUCUCUAAUUGUUGACUUACAGAUUCUGUUGGUUAAAUCAUAGAAAUAUUGUUUUAAGUUCCCCAUGGUAGGUGCAACUUUUUUCUUAAUUUUUUAGAAGUAAAACUGUUUUAGUCUAGUGGUUCAAUUCGAUGACCUAAACAACAAAUUAUGGUAGAUAAAACAUGUGUUUAAUGGCCAGGGCGCUGACCUGCAAUUUUCUUAAAGAUCAAAACAUCAAACCAGAGUUUUUGUUCAGUAGGCUAUAGUUUGACCAACAAAUAGUUUAAUCUUGGAUUGAACCAUCGACCUUCUGUGGUGUGUUUUUUAAGCAUUAUGAAACCUGGUCUAAACUGUCCAAGGAUUUGUGAGAUCAUUGGUUUAAAAAAGAGGCGACUACUAAGACUGUUUAAUGCAUUUGGUGCCACCUAAUUUUUCUUUUGAUAUUCACACUUUUUUUAUGUUUCUAAAACUAUUUAUUUCCUAUCAUCACAUAGUGUCCUACUGAACUUCUGAAUACUAUUUGAUUAAUUUAAUUGUUUGUGGUACAUUUAAUUAAUUUUCCCUAGCACUGGUAUGGUGGAGCUUGGUGAAGAUUGGCUUACAAUAUAACUUUCUGAUAGGAGUUCCACAAAACAUCUCUUCUUUUAUAAUGGUAGUUUUAGUUUUUGACUGUGUUACAUUGCUGAUUUCUUUGUAAUUUUAUCUUGUUAUGUUGAAUCGAAAAACCAUGGGCAUGGGGGACUCAUCUGGCUUAUAUACUAACAUAUAGCAAAACUUCAAACUUUCUUAAUCCAGAUUUUGAGUUUUGGAAUAGUUGCAUUCCGAAAAGGUGAGAACCUUUCUCGCAAUUCUUAUUCGUAUUUGUUCUUUGUCAUAAUUUUGAUAACAUUUGGAGGAAGCUGGAAAAUAAAUGCGAAAGGACACUUACCUUGAAUUAUCCAGAUCAAAGGGUUCAGUUCCAACUCAUCAUUGGAGAAGCAAGUAUGUCCUCUUGCAAACAUAUGGGAGGAGGAGCACUUGUGUGCUCGGUGGUGGAUUCUUUUGUAGCCUUAGUCUCUGGGAUUGCUAAAGUCCAGGUGGAUGGGAGGCAGAGCGAAGGAAGGUGGAGGUCUAUGAACAUAUGCCUAUGCUUUAUGGAUUAUGCAUCUCCAUGCUUGUAGCUCAUCCUUGGUUUGUUUGUGUAGCUCUCCAUGCUUUACACUAAAACCAAUUAGAAUUAAUGUUUUCUACAGAGGAUCAUCUGAAGUAAUUGCUCUACCAUGUGACGUUCAAGAAAGAGAUAUCGCAUGAGACAUGUCGUAUCUGAGUAUUAUAAACAUAAUAAUAGUUGGAGAUUGGCAGGCUACAGAGUAAGCAAUUCAUUCUCUUAUUAAGCAAGUAGGAUUGGGCACCAUGUGUUUUUGCAUCUACUGAUGAUGUUGUAAGUGUGUAAUGGUCAAUGGAACACUCCAACCAAGUUCCAAUAGUGAUGUGGAGGAAAUGCGGGUCAAACUUCGUCAAUGGAAGGUGAAGAUUACAAUGAUGGAUUGAUUCAAUCCUUACAUGAUGCAUCCAGGGUGUUUGAGUUGGCUAUCAGAUGACCUGUAAACUUUCAAGGCAGUUGCAGAGAGACAAGUGAUAGCAGAGCAGUUUUGAGGUUUGGUCUUCUCGGCUUUCAAGUACCUUUGUGGUUGAGAAUGAUCUUUGCACAAGAUGUUGAUUCAGGGAACCAUUAAGAGACUGUGGCUAAGGAGUCGGCCCUUUACGAAGGUGACCACUAGGAUGAGGAGCUGGUCAUGCACAAGAACGACUAUGUAUGCGAUGAUUGUGCUUUCAGGGCAUACUGAGGAUGAGAGUAUCAUCUUCCCUUUUUAUUUUUUUGUCUACAGAUCUAAUGUAGC